rnacentral:rRNA from 1 species
CAAUAGCGUAUAUUAAAGUUGUUGCAGUUAAAAGCUCGUAGUUGGAUUUCUGGUGGGGUGUUUGGCCUGGCUCUAAUGAGUUUUGCGCCUAUACGUCUCCGCCAUCCUUGGGGAAAACUUGCUUGGCAUUAAGUUGUCGAGUUUGGGAUCCCAUCGUUUACUGUGAAAAAUUAGAGUGUUCAAAGCAGGCAACCGCUCUGAAUACAUUAGCAUGGAAUAACGCUAUAGGACUCUGGUCCUAUUGUGUUGGUCUUCGGGACCGGAGUAAUGAUUAAGAGGGACAGUUGGGGGCAUUCGUAUUUCAUUGUCAGAGGUGAAAUUCUUGGAUUUAUGAAAGACGAACUUCUGCGAAAGCAUUUGCCAAGGAUGUUUUCAUUAAUCAAGAACGAAAGUUGGGGGCUCGAAGACGAUUAGAUACCA